UACGUAGGGGGCGAGCGUUGUCCGGAAUUAUUGGGCGUAAAGAGCUCGUAGGCGGCCUGUCACGUCGACUGUGAAAACCCGAGGCUCAACCUCGGGCCUGCAGUCGAUACGGGCAGGCUAGAGUUCGGUAGGGGAGACUGGAAUUCCUGGUGUAGCGGUGAAAUGCGCAGAUAUCAGGAGGAACACCGGUGGCGAAGGCGGGUCUCUGGGCCGAAACUGACGCUGAGGAGCGAAAGCGUGGGGAGCAAACAGG
rnacentral:rRNA from 1 species